UGGUCACUGUCCUCUCCACCGUCUUGCUGGAUCCAUCCAAGAGGACUGCGAUGGAGGGAUAGUUAUGGCUGAAAGAGGUGUCGUUCUUGGGGCAUUUGCUGCUACUGUCGCCUGUGAUGUUUUGGAUUUGCUUGGAGGACUCCAUGUUGGGUGAAUGGAUUUCAAGUAAGCGAUGGUGCCACUGACGUGAGGGCACGCCAUGGAAGUUCCAGAGAGAAAAGUGUACUCCACGAACACUUCCUUUCCAUUGUCAGUGUCGGGGAUAUUGCUUGGCCAAGCUGCUAAGAUCUCGACUCCUGGAGCGGUAACGUCCGGCUGCAACGCGAGAUAAGUCACAAGCUUCAUGGUGCUGGCUUGUAAGGAAUCGUUGUUCCUCUGAGAAUUCGUGAUUUACGACUGCACAGAAA